rnacentral:rRNA from 1 species
CACACGAAGCUGGAAUCGCUAGUAAUCGCGAAUCAGAAUGUCGCGGUGAAUACGUUCCCGGGUCUUGUACACACCGCCCGUCACACCAUGGGAGUCAGCAACGCCCAAAGUCAGUGACCUAACCGAAAGGAAGGAGCUGCCGAAGGCGGGGCCGGUAACUGGGGUGAAGUCGUAACAAGGUAUC